rnacentral:rRNA from 1 species
AGAAUCAACGCUGGCGGCGUGCCUAACACAUGCAAGUCGAACGAGAAAGGGUAGCAAUACCUGAGUAAAGUGGCGCACGGGUGAGUAACACGUGACUAACCUACCCUGGAGUGGGGGAUAACUGAGGGAAACCUUAGCUAAUACCGCAUAAUACCUACGGGUCAAAGGAGCAAUUCGCUUUGGGAGGGGGUCGCGGCCGAUUAGUUAGUUGGCGGGGUAAUGGCCCACAAGACAGUGAUCGGUAUCC